rnacentral:rRNA from 1 species
GACGAACGCUGGCGGCGUGCUUAACACAUGCAAGUCGAACGGAAAGGCCCUGCUUUUGUGGGGUGCUCGAGUGGCGAACGGGUGAGUAACACGUGAGUAACCUGCCUUUGACUUUGGGAUAACUUCAGGAAACUGGGGCUAAUACCGGCUAGGAGCUCCUGCUGCAUGGUGGGGGUUGGAAAGUUUCGGCGGUUGGGGAUGGACUCGCGGCUUAUCAGCUUGUUGGUGGGGUAGUGGCUUACCAAGGCUUUGACGGGUAGCCGGCCUGAGAGGGUGACCGGCCACAUUGGGACUGAGAUACGGCCCAGACUCCUACGGGAGGCAGCAGUGGGGAAUAUUGCACAAUGGGCGGAAGCCUGAUGCAGCAACGCCGCGUGCGGGAUGACGGCCUUCGGGUUGUAAACCGCUUUCGCCUGUGACGAAGCGUGAGUGACGGUAAUGGGUAAAGAAGCACCGGCUAACUACGUG